rnacentral:rRNA from 1 species
AUUCCAGCUCCAAUAGCGUAUAUUAAAGUUGUUGCGGUUAAAAAGUUCGUAGUUGGAUUUCUGUGAAGGAUAACCGGUCCGCACUAUGUGCGUGUAUCUGUUUGUCCUUUGCAUCCUCGCGGAAUACGUCACUGUGCUUCACUGCAUGGGGCGGGCUUCGCGACUUUUACUUUGAGGAAAUUAGAGUGUUCACGGCAGGCUCACGCCAUGAAUAUAUUAGCAUGGAAUAAUAAUAUAGGACCUUGGUUCUAUUUUGUUGGUUUCUAGGGCUAAGGUAAUGAUUAAUAGGGACAAUUGGGGGCAUUCGUAUUAACGCGUCAGAGGUGGAAUUCUUGGAUUGCGUUACGACGAACUACUGCGAAAGCAUUUGCCAAGGAUGUUUUCAUUG